GAGAGCAAGUAAAUGAAUUAUCUGCUUCUUUCCCUUGAAUGAUUUAGGGUCUUAAUUGAGCUUUCUAACUGGGUGGAAUGCACAGAUCUGCAUGGAGCCCUGGCAGAAGGUAACAGUGUGAGAUUGUGCAGAGAAUGCAAAGAUCUCAUCAUAACAUCAUUGGUGCAGAAGUGUUCCCUGCUCCCUGGCCCAAUGAGGAAUGAGCAAGAGAUGGAGGAUAAUUUAUUCAAUAACCUCACAUUCAGGUUGCAGGCUCCCAUCCACAGCCCGUGUGGGAGGGAGGUCUCUUCAUAUCUCCUCUUCUACCCACCUCCCUCCCGCCCCGCUACCACGCACACACACUCAUACACAUCCAUACAAUUCCCUUACAAUUAGGAAGACACCUAUUCAGCCCAGCUCUUAUUGCUGGGCUUUUGUUCCUUCUCGUCUUGGCUGGCAAAGCUAUUCCCUCUGUUUCCUUUGGAUGAUCCUGGACCUCACCUGCCAUAGGGGAUGCCCCAGUUUACCUUUGCUUGCUUCUGCGGACUCCAUGGCUUCUGCAAGACGAAGAGGAAAAAGGAAGAGCCCAGUGCAGGGCAGGAGACAUCUGUAUGAGACUUCCCUGGGUGUCUCAUUCACAUCGCUGGAUCCCAGCCCUGGUUGGAACUUGAGACUUGACUGGCUUGGAAGAAAAGCUGAUGCUCAGAAAUGACCUUGCAGAAGAGCCACAAAGAGGCAUUAUCCUGAGUGCUAUGGUGUCUCAGCACUGAUCCCCGGUCUCAAAGGUGCUUGGCCUUGGGCCCCACAGCUAGAGUUUGUCCCUUUGCCGGGAAAAGUUUUGUUCAUGAGAAAUCUGUCCUAGUCUUGUUCAAAUAUGCCUCCAUGGGCACACUGAAGGAGAUUUCGAAACCAAGAGCCAAGUCCUGCUCUCUGUUUCUCUGGAGGGAGGGGGCAGCAGGAUUUGUCUCUGUAUUCUUAGGUUGUCUCACUUUUACACUGUCAAAUGAAAAUGAACAACUUGUAGAGUUGUUUUAGUAUCCCCAAGCUAGCACCUGUAUCUAAAAGAAGCAGUUCCUAACACCACUGAGACAUUUUGUGCUCUGAUGCACUAGAUGCAUGCAGGCAGGGGACUGGACUUGAAGACCUCUCGAGGUCCCUUCCAGUCCUAGUAUUCUAUGAUUCUAUGCCAGCCUGGAGAAACCCUUGCGAAGUGAGGCAAACAAACUGAGCUUUGAUCCUGUUCUCUUUUGCACUGGUGCAUAUCUGGAGUGAUUCCACAGAAGUCAAUGAUGGGAGAGAAGACUCAUGCCUUUUAUGUGUCCGUAUGAACGAUGGGAAGUUAAUUUUGCAGUUGGCACCUUUUCCAUAAUGGACUUAACUCAAAAUCCCUGAACUCUGUGUGGAGGGGAGUUUGGAAGUGGAGCCUAGAUCUCAGUUUGUAGCUCAGGUCCCUGACAGGCAUGUACGCACCGUCCAGUGGUUCUCUCCCUGUCCCAUAAUGGGCGCCCUCUUCCAGUUUAGCAAUCUGGGAAAGGCAGAGUGGACACGACCCUCUGGCACCUGUUCCUGUACGUGGUGCGGGCCACAACUCCCCAUUAUAAGCGCUCAUGGACUCAAAGAAAUUGAUGCAGCUGACAGUCUGGAAAAUGCCAGUGUUCAAAUCGUUAACCUUUUUCCUGGCACUGCCCAGGUAUAGCAGUUAGUGUUAGUGUAGCUGCAGCUUCAAAGAUUGUCCCUGUUUUCUCCCUGCCUGUCUGUACGUCUUUCCUGCCUGUUGUUUAAGCCAUAGGGAAACUUCCUGGGUGCUGUGCCUUUCAGGAGGCGUUGCAGACAGACUCUCCUCUUCCGCAGCGGGGCUGGAACAAUUUGUAUCGUGGGGGUGUUGAAAACCAUUUCACCAAACUGUAAAUCCUGUAUGUAAUGGAAACCACUUCUAGGCAGAGGAUGCGGCAGCACCCCCACACCCCUAGUUCCAGCAUCUAUGCUCUCCAAGUACCUUAAAUAACCCCAGCAGCUGUCCUUGUGGGUCUCAGAAAGUAUAGCUAUUUCUUAGCCUGUUCCAAAGAGCACGGAAGUCCGUAGAAACUCUCCCUUUGAUUUCAAUGUGUUUGGCUCAGGCCCUCAGUUAUCACUCAGGAAGGUCUUCAUGUGGCAAUGUUGGAGAUGGAUUGAAGCCAGUCCCUGGCUCUGAUCACCCCCAGGUGUAUGACACUGGAAAUCCAGACCCAAAUUUAGCCGCUUAGACCCAGCUCUGGUAAACUCAGGCAGCCUCAGUCCCUUCCCUCCUGAAUCCUUUGCUGCCACCUGCAAAAUGUGCGGCCCGUGAGGCUACUAGAAGUUUGUGCUUAAGAUGUUGGUGACAGGGAGGAUGGUCACAAAGUAUCUCGAGCCCUUUCAGUCAGAAUCAAGAGCAGCAGCUGCUGCUUUCAAGAACAGAUGGCAAGGCCUGAGCUGGGUGCAUGACCGAGUCAGAAAGACAGGCUGUCCACAAGACAGGAUGUGAAGGUCACCAUGGAGAGCAGGGGAGGGGUUCAAAAUGGCUGCCGCAAGCAGGGCUGUUUCAGCCAGUUCUAGGGUUGCCAGAUGGUUUCAGCAAAAAUACGGAACACACUUGACAUGACAUCCCAAUCUACGUUACAUCUUA